CGUUGCUACGGCCAGCGACCUUGCGAACGCCGAGAAGGGGGGGGCACGCAGGCGGAAAAAGAGGGAGCAACAACAUCGAUAUAAAGAAGGCGGUAUCAGGCGGCACGGCACACACAAACUGCCGCCGACGCACUGGACCGCAAUAAAACCGCGUCACUUUGUGUUCCCCUCCGCCCGCUUCCCUUUUUGACACACACACACACACACACACACACACACACACACACACACACACACACACACACACACAAAUUCCCCUUCACGGAUACAGGCGCCCUGCGCAAGGCAACAACGCUGAUAGCCGCACUCAGAGCCAUGACCGAGACGGUGCUGCGACUUGGCCCUCAGGAGUACGCCCACCUCACUAAUUUGAACACCAACACGACCGAGCUUAUCCUCGGGCCACUGAAUCGCCCCGUUGCGUCCCACGAGUCGGUGGCGCUGCCUCCCACGAAGUUUGUGGUGGUGCCGCCAACACAGUACUGCCUGGUCGCCAACCCACACCGCACCGCCAUCGACCCGACCACCGGCAUCGCACAGCCGGUGCGAGACGCAUAUGGGCAGGUGCAGGUGCGCUCUGGCGAGGAGGAGUAUCGCUGGCACGUGCCGCCCUUUCCUCUCUAUCCCGAGGAGGCGGUGGUGAAGAUCGAGGAUCUCAAAGUCCUCUCGGCGCGGGCUGCGCUGCAGAUUCAGGUGCUCACCGCCUACAAAGUGCCGGCAUGCAGCGCCAGCGACUCGACGCCGUCCCCGGCUCGCCGCGAAGCUGGUGAGCGCUACCUCUUCUGCGGCCCCGGCACCUAUUAUCCCCGCGUUGAGGAGCGCAUCGAGGAGGAGGUGACGGCCUACACGGUGGAGCGUGGCUCGGCGCUGUGGUGCACGACAAGCGAGACUUUCACGGACAGCGUGACGGGCCUGAAGCACUACGCCGACGACAAGUACAUGUACGUUGCUGAAGGGAUGCACUUUUUGCAGCCCUUUGAGAGCCUUCAGCGCUUCGCGAAGGGCAUCGUGCUUAGCACGGAGGAGGGGCUACAUGUGCAGCCGACCAAGACCUAUGCCGACCCCCGCACCCCGUUUCGCGAGAAGGGUAUCACUCGGAAGGCAAACGAGCCAUUCCUGGUCACGGGCGAUCUGUGCCCCUGCUUUGUGCUGCACCCCUACGACCAGCUGCUGAAAACGGUAAAGCGCACGCAUGUGUCGGCGUCGCAGUAUGCCGUCAUUCUCAACCCCGUCGGCGACGACGGUAAAGCGAGCGUUGGCGCGCGCAGGAUCGUCACGGACGCGUUUUUUUUCCUCAAGCCAGGCGAGACGCUGGAAAAGGAUCAUCCGCGGUCAGCCUACCUGCUUUGCGAGCAGGAAGCAGUGCUUGUGACAGCGCUGGGCAGCUUCACCGACUCGUCGUGCACGCCGCCGGUGCAGCGCUACGACGGGGACCGGUGGCUAGUGCAGGGCCCCUGCUCCUUCAUUCCGUCGGACCUCAUGCGUGUCAUUCCCAACGAAAAGACUGGCGCGGAGGUGCGGCGACCCUACCUGCUCAGUGAGGGGGACGGCCUGUACGUCCGGAACGGCGUCACUGGCGUGGUGCGGUGCAUCCCAGGCCCGUGCAGCUACCUGCUGACCGCCGAGGAGGAGGUGUGGGAAAAGCCACUCCCCGCGCAGGUGGAGCGGCACCUGGCGCAGCUAGUCAGUCACGCGGCCUACAUUGAGCUCGAGCGCGACAAAGAACGAAAGGUGCUGCAGGGGCAGACGGAACGGGCAGUGUCCUACCACAUUCCCUAUCGAAGCGUGACACAGCUUUACAACUACAAGACGCAGAUGACGCGUAUCGUCUUUGGACCUGAUCGCGUACUCCUUGAACCGGACGAGGCCUUCACGGUGGUGUCGCUCUCCGGCUCCCCGUGGGACCCCGCGAAGCCAACGAAGUGUAUGCCGAAGCAUACAAACUACAUCACCGCCCUGCACCUCUUCCUCGGCCCCUCCAACAUGACAGACGUUGUGCACGUCGAGACGCGCGACCACGCGCAGCUCGCCCUGCAGCUCUGCUAUGACUGGUACUUUGACGUCACCCCCGGCGACACGGAGACGGCCAAGGAGUGCUUCAGCGUGAACGACUUUGUGGGCGACGCGUGCUCUUACAUUGCCAGCCGCAUCCGUGCCGCCGUGGCCUCCAUGCCGUUCGAGGAGUUUCACAAGAACAGCGCGCGGUGCCUGCGGCGUGCCGUGUUCGACGUCAAUCCCGCCACCGGCCAGCCGAAUGGCCUCCUCCGUUUUCCAGCAAACCACCUCGUCGUCACGUCGGUGGACACGCAGGAGAUGGAGGUGCUCGAUGAGCGCACGCGUCAGGGACUGCAGAAGUCCGUGAAAAUGGCGAUCGAAAUCACCACCCAUGCGCAGGAAGCCGAGGCGCAGCAGGUGGCCAUGGCGCGUGAGCAGGAGGCGCGUGGGCGGCUUGAGCGACAGCGAAUGCACGAUAAAGUGGCCAAUGAGGAGCAGCGGCGCGUGCUGCUUCACGCGGAGAGCAACGGGCUUGCCAUUGUGAGCUCCGGCAAGUCCAAGGCCAUGGCAGAGGCGCUGUCCUGCGCCUCACGCAUCGAGAGCGAGGCCUCGGUUGAGGCGGCCACCAUGCGGGCUGCCAAGGAGCUGCUGCUCUACAAUACCAUGAACGAGAUGCAGAACAAGAAGCGGCUGCUGCUCGCCGAGCAGGAGGAGAAGGUGGCCGCGAUGACGCUGGCCUACGAGAAGGAGCUGGAGGAGGUGCGGCACACGCUGAUGGGCAGGGUGGUUGCAGCGCUGGGGCCGGAGACGAUUGCGGAGAUCGCCAGGGCCGCACCCGAGCUACAGGCGAAGCUGCUGGCGAGUCUCGGGCUGGAGGGCUACCUUGUGACGGAUGGCAGCUCGCCCAUCAACCUCUUCAAGGCAGCGAGCGGCCUUGUUGGGCACGUCUGAGACGGACGGCGACGAGGACGCUACGAGGGGGGGGGGCGGCUGGUCGACUGUCGCACUCUUCUCGUCUUGCCACGCGUUUGCUCCCACCGACUUUGCUUGACUCCACGCUUCUCAGCUUUCCCCUUUUUCUUCCUUCAGGCGUCGACCGCCCUUCCUGCUGCUGCAAACAGUUUCUUUGGUGGUGCGUACGCAUGACGGCGCAUGAUCGCUUCUUUAUGGACACUUGCAUUUCUCUUUUUUUUUCGUUGUGCUUCCCAGCCAACCAGCAGAGGAGGCAGCCAGCGAGUGCGUGUGGGUGAUGGAUGGAAAAAGGAGGGAGGGAGAUAAGGGAGGGAUGGGAAUAGACUUCUCUUGCCCCACUCUUCUCUUUUCUCACCUUCCCUCCUUUCAUCAGCACCCGGCAGCUCCUCUCCGCUGCGCACGCACGUACAGACACACAGUUUCAGGCAUGUGGUACACCAGCUUUUCCUGUGCUCACCCGCUUUCGUACGCCCUUUUGCACCUCUCCUCAUUUUCUUUCCUCUUCGCUACGUUCUGCAG
rnacentral:misc_RNA from 1 species